GGGCGAUUAGCUCAGCCGGGAGAGCGCCUGCCUUACAAGCAGGAUGUCGGCGGUUCGAUCCCGUCAUCGCCCA
rfam:Anaerosporomusa subterraneum strain RT4 RT4_contig_2, whole genome shotgun sequence.